UCCUAGGGUAAAACUGGUGACUGGGGCUAAGUCGUAACAAGGUAGCCGUACCGGAAGGUGCGGCUGGAACACCUCCUUU
rnacentral:rRNA from 1 species